AACGAACGCUGGCGGCAGGCUUAACACAUGCAAGUCGAACGGGUGCAGCAAUGCAUCAGUGGCAGACGGGUGAGUAACACGUGGGAACCUUCCUAGGGGUACGGAACAACUCAGGGAAACUUGAGCUAAUACCGUAUACGUCCGUGAGGAGAAAGAUUUAUCGCCCUUAGACGGGCCCGCGUCGGAUUAGCUAGUUGGUGGGGUAACGGCCUACCAAGGCGACGAUCCGUAGCUGAUCUUAGAGGAUGAUCAGCCACACUGGGACUGAGACACGGCCCAGACUCCUACGGGUGGCAGCAGUGGGGAAUCUUGGACAAUGGGCGCAAGCCUGAUCCAGCCAUGCCGCGUGAGUGAAGAAGGUCUUCGGAUUGUAAAGCUCUUUUGCCAGGGACGAUAAUGACGGUACCUGGAGAAUAAGCUCCGGCAAACUUCGUGCCAGCCGCCGCGGUAAAAC
rnacentral:rRNA from 1 species